CCUGUGGCAGCAGGCGAGAGGCUGUUGUAGGGUGCCGCCAUAACCUCGUUGCUGGUUGUGCUGGUGGAGAGGCGCAGGUGGCUGAGCCAGUGCUGCCCUGUGAGCUCCCUCCCCGCAGGAGCCUCUGCAGGACCCCCGACUCGUGAGAAGCUGGGAAGGACUUGAACCUGAAGCAGAGAGGGAAGGAGAGGCCAGGAGAUGGACUGAUGUGAGAGGCGACAGCGGCCCCUGCUGUUGGAAGGCUCAAGCUGCAAGAGAGGAGGCCCCUUCCCGCCUGAGGUGUAGCCCUGCAGCCUG